rnacentral:lncRNA from 1 species
GUACUGGGACGAUUCCGCGGAGCCGGGCAGAGGUUUUAGGGGUGCGCAGGAGUCAAGUGGUGGUUCAGUGGGGACGGUGAGGUGGAGGACGAUCUGGUCGGAUAGCCGCGGGCACGAACCUGGGAACCAGAGGGUGGAGGCCAUGCUGGGGACUGAUGUAGGGCGGGACCGACUGGAAGCGGCAUCCAGAGGCCCAGUGAGCCUCGGUCUCAGCUCCUGAAGGGGUUGCAUGGGGCCCUACGCUUCCUUCUCCAUUUUUUAGCUAAGAGAUUGAGAGAGUCGGUUUACUUUUGGGCUUGGAGUAUCAUUUAGAUCUGUUAACAGUACAGUUGAGAGAGUUGGUGUCUUUUGUUGAGGUGCGAGGACCCGAGGCGGCGACCCUCGCCUUUAUUCGGAGAAGCCCACUUCCACCCACAGAGUUGGGGUAGUCCUCCGAAAUGCAUUUUUGUUUUGCCGUUUGUUUUCCAACCCCCUUUCACUCUCCCCAAAGCUUCAGAUUCACUGAUUUUUCAUACAGGAAUGAUUAACAAAGGCGUCCGAAGAAAUCGUUGUUGGAAGGUGACCAAGGUGGAAAGAGACGUUGCUUUGGCCCUGCAAGUAAGAAGAGAGAGGGAAUAGCCUGAAGGAGUAACACUAAAUUUAAAAUGACACUUUUUUACCAACCAGCGAAAGCAGAUGUUCAAAGGGGAUAUUGGCCAGGUGCGGUCGCUCACGCCUUUAAUCCCAGCACUUUGGGGGCAGACGCGGGGAGAUAGCGUGAUUCUAGGAGUUCAACCCCAGCCUGGGCAACAUGCGGAGACCCCGUACCGUCUCUACAAAAACAUUAAACAAAAAAAUUAGCUGGGCAUGGUGGUGUACCCCUGUAGUUGCAGCUACACUAGAGGCUGAGGUGGGAGGAUCGCUUGAGCCCGGGAUGUUGAGGCUGCAGUGAGCCUCGAUCCUACCACUGUGCUCCAGCCUGGGCGACAGCAAGCCCGUGUCUCAGAAAAGGCGGGAGGGGUGGGAUAUUAUUGAUGAUAGGCCUUCUGACGUCUGGCAAUAGAUUCCAGAGUAACAUCGGUCAUGGAUAAAUUUUUUUUUUAACUAAGUGACUGAAACCAAAGUUAAUUGUCUUUUGAGUGAUUUUGCACAGUAUCUCAAAAUGAACUGUACUUUUUUUCUUGUGUCACUGAAACAGUGCUGUGUGUUCUUUUUCAGAGUCUGUCACACUAAGAUGAGAAAUGUCCUUUCUUCCUGAAGGUGUCUGAUGUGUAAAAAUAUGAUAUACUUUGUGCUGUUUCCUCCCUUCCCUUUUGCAUAUUAUUCUGAAACAACAUUAACUAGUUACUUUGCGUCAUUGAAGGUAUGCACUUCCCCUCUAUGUUAGGAGUGAAUAAAAUUAAAAAUAGAUCCUUAUAACAAAGAAAGGCAGAUAGAAUGAUUAAAAAUGACCAAAACAUGUUAGAAACAGUCUCUCAGGUGUAUGCAGAUGGUAAUUACAAAAAUACUUUUUCAAAAAAUGAUCUUCUGUGUCAUGUUUCUGGGAACAAGUCAAGAUGAAUGAGUUUGAUUUUUAAGCAGAAGUAGUAUGUGUUGGUGUCAUCCAUGAAUACAACAAUGAAAAAGGCUCAAAGUUGUUGUUAUUCAGAAACUUCUCUAAGUAAUGGUGGUAAGUACAGGAAAAGGAGCAAUGUCUACCAUUUUCUUUCUAACCUUCGAUUUAACUAUUGUAAUGUUGUAAGCUUAACAGAGACUUACACUUAGGCUUAAUUUCAAGCUCUUCAAUCAUUUUUCCCGGUUGGUGAUUCAGGUGUAUUCUCAUGUCUUAUGUAAACUUAUCAUGAGUGUUGUUGAUUUAUAAUAUAUUUCUUUAUGUAAGCCAUAGCCUUGUCAGUUUGAGUUAUAUGGAAGACAAAUUGUAGGGAAAAAGAGCAACAGAUUACUCAGAAACCUUCUGUGUGAGCUGGGCAUAGUAGUGCAUGCCAGUAGGCUUAGCUACUUGGGAGGCUGAGGCAGGAGGAUCACUUGAUCCCAUUAGUUUGAGGCUGCAGUGAGCUAUGAUUGUGUCACUGUACUCCAAUCUGGACAACAGUGAGACUAUGUCUGUUUUUAAAAAAGAAAGAAAGCUUGUGUUUGAGAAGUGAUACCUCUAGAAUACAGUGAUUUCUAUAAUUUGUCAUGUGUUUGGGUAGUUUGAAGUUUUUCUAUCCUUGUAUCUAAUGGACAUCUGACCAUAAAGAUGAAAAAAUCCUGCACUCAUUAUAAAUUUUAUUUAUAAAAUUGAUAUUUGAGGAGUUGGGGAGGCCAGCUUCUGAAAAAAUAACAGUGUCCCAUAGAAACACCACAACUUAGGAAAAUAUUGUUAAAGUGGAAUUAGGAAUAUCUAGAGGAGGUAAAGCUUUUCAUCUCUCAAAAAAGAAUUAGGGCCAGGCACAGUGGCUGACACCUGUAAUCCUAGCACUUUGGGAGGCCGAGAUGGGCACAUCACUUGGGGCCAGGAGUUCAAGACCAGCCUGGCCAACAUGGCGAAACCCCAUCUCCAAGAAAUAGAAAAGUUAGCCAGGUGUGGUGGCGUGCGCCUGUAAUACCAGCUACUAGGGUGGCUGAGGCAGGAGAAUCGCUUGAACUGGGGAGGUGGAGGUGGCAGUGAGCAGAGAUUGAGCCACUGUACUCCAGCCUGGGCAACAGCAAGACCCUAUCUCAAAAAAAUAAUAAAGAGAAUUAGGACAUGGAUUUGUAUUAAAAUUAUAGGUAGCUCAUUUAAGAGUAUGAAGCCAAUUGCUGUUAGAGCAAGGGUUUUUUUCAGUAGAGGUGUCAGGAUAACCUAUACAGCUCUAAAAGUAUAUGGCUGUUACCUUCCCAUCCCUGUUGAAAUCUCCAGGGUUAGAACCAAGUAUUGUGUUUUUAAAACUAUAGGUGAGUCUACAAGAGUUGGGUGGAGUAGUCCUCUACAUCCUGUGUUUGUAUUUUUGCAGUAAGUCACACAAUAACAAAAGCUUUGAGAAAGAUUUUAGGUUUAUUGCUAAUUAUACCCAUGAAUGAAUUCUGAAAAUGUGUAGAUAAGGAAUUUACCUGGUGAACGGUUUACACAUGGCAAUUGUGGGAGGGAGAGGGGAGUGAGAGGAGAUGAGAUCAGUUUUAGCUUUAAGAGGACCAACCGGGCCAAGCACGGUGGCUCACGCCUGUAAUCCCAGCACUUUGGGGCCGAGGUGGGUGGAUCACGAGGUCAGCAGUUCAAGACCAGCCUGACCAACAUGGUGAAACCCCGUCUCUACUAAACAUACAAAAAAUUAACUGAGUGUGGUGGCGGGUGCCUGUAAUCCCAGCGACUUGGGAGGCUGAGGCAGGAGAAUCGCUUGAAACUGGAAGGCGGAGGUUGCAGUGAUCCGAGAUUGUGCUAAUGCACUCUAGCCCGGGCAAUAACAGCAAAACUCCCGUUUAAAAAAAAAAAAAAAAAAGGGACCAACCAUGAUAUCCUGACUAACCUGUAUAUUUCUUAGAAUGAGGGUUUAGCCUAAUAUUAAGAAAGUCUAAUGUUAAGAGACACCUAGUAAGAGCUCAACGCUGUGGUAAAAUUAUGAUAGUUAUGCAGAAACUUAAAAGCUGAAGUAUCCAGAGACAAUAUAUUGUUUAGAAUUUUCUGAAAAUAAAAAUUUUCUUGCCCUAAGUCUUGAAUUUUUAAGUUAUUGAUGUUAAUAUUUAUGAUCUUUGAACAAAUGAUAUUAUAAUAGAGUAUCUUUUAGGUCACAGAGACCCCUUUUUAGAGCUGAGAAAUCUUACAAAUUCCUCAGCCCAUGUUUUACAGAUAAGGAAAUGGGCAUGCACACAGUGAAAUUAAAAAUUGCUAGUGGUCACACUGUACAUUGAUGGCAAAGGCAGGGCAGAAUUAGAAUCCAAUUAUCUUACCUGUUCAGUGUCUUUAAUGAUACAGCAAGCUCACCACUGUUUCUCUUUACUCUUUAAACAGUGGAUUUUUUUUGUCAUGAUUUUGAUUUCUUGUAUAAUGCAGUUCAAUACUUGUUUAAUUUUAAUGUUGGACUCUCAAUUUUUAAGACAGUAGUACACAUGAAAUGUGCUUUAUAUUUUAUGUUUCAACAAGAAAAUACACAUUUUCCUUUUAAUAGAGGAGCUUAAGUUCCUAAUUUAAAUAAUUGAGUAUGAGCUUCAGAUACUUCAGAGUGGUAUUAAUAAACUUUGCUUUUCCAAAUGGUUUCAGAUAAGCAUUUAAUAUUCAAAGCUUCCUCUUUACAGCUUAGGAAGUGGUCUGGUUAAGUGACUUGAGUUCAUACAGGAAUAUAUCGGUAUGUUCCUAAUUCCCAUCAAGUGUACCAUUAUGUAAUCAUAUAAUCUUGCUAACAGAUCUAACAGAUUACUUUUUUUUUUUUUUUUUUUUUGAGACAGAGCCUUGCUCUGUCGCCCAGGCUGGAGUGCAGUGGCGCGAUCUCUACUCACUGUAACCUCCGCCUCCCAGGUUCAAGCAAUUCUUCUGCCUCGGCCUCCCAAGUAGCUGGGACUACAGGCAGGCACUACCACACCCGGCUAAUUUUUGUAUGUUUAGUAGAGACGGGGUUUCACCAUGUUGGCCAGGCUGGUCUGGAACUCUUGACCUCAAGUGAUCCGUCUGCCUCUGCCUCCCAAAGUGCUGGGAUUAUAGGAGUGAGCCACUAUGCCUGUCCUCUAGGGAAAAUCUUUAAUUCAUUCUGGACAAUGAGAAAACUUUUAUUUUUACUUUUAGUUAACAAUACUCAGGAAAAUAAAAAGUGUGCUUUUUAAUCUUAGUAACCCAAUUUGAGUUUGAAACAAAUUUACAUAAUUUUAGCUGCUUAAUAUGCUGCUGAAGAUAAAUGCAGUAAAUAUCCCAAGGUCAAGAUUUGAAAUCCAAAUGUCCAUAGUAAUGAUUAACAGGAAAAGAGAGUCCUCUGUUAACUUUAUUUCUCAAUUUUUUACAGGUUUGGAUAAUUAAGGGAGCACUAGAAAACUUUUUUUUUUUUUUUUGAGAUGGAGUCUGUUGCCCAGGCUGGAGUACAGUGGUACGGUCUCGACUCACUGCAAUCUCCGCUCCUGGGUUCAAGUGAUUUCUCUUGCCUCAGUCUCCUGACUAGCUGGGAUUUACAGGCGCAUGCCACCAUGCCCAGCUAAUUUUUGUAUUUUUAUUAGAGACGGGUUUCAUCAUGUUGGUCAGGCUGGUCUCAAACUCCUGACCUCGUGAUCCACCCGCCUCGGCCUCCCAAAGUGCUGGGAUUACAGGUGUGAGCCACCGUGCCCAGCCGAAAAUGUUUCUUUGCAAGGAUAAAUAUAUGAAGAUAAACUUGCCGAGCGUAAAUAUGUUCAUGAAUAUAGCCACUUAAGGAAAUUCAAACAUGCAGAGAUGUUCAGCUGUAUGCAGUUAUGUAUUCAUGAAGUAUUCAUGUAUUCAUGAAGCCUUAUUUGAUGUAGAAUCUGAGGGUGCUGCCUAUACAUAAACUUGCUUAAAGGUUAAAACUUAAGGAAUGUUCAUCAAAGUCACUUUCUUACACCUAACUCCUGAUUUCAUGAAUAUAACACAUAGGUGCUUAUCAAACUGAAUACCUUGGAGAUGAGCUGCUCCAGCACCAGAAGAUAAAAUUCAGUAACUGUAAUCCUUGAGGUACCUAAGUGAUACAUUUUUUUUAAGACUGAGCCAAAAUAAAACAGCUUUCCUCCUUCCCUACCCUCUCCGACCAAACUUUUAGCCAUUUUAUUUAUUUAUUUAUUUGAGAUGGGGUCUAGCCAUGUGGAGUGCAGUGGCUAUUCACAAGCAUGAUCAUAGCAAAUGACAGCCACAGACUCCUGGGUUCGAGCAAUCCUGCCUCAGCCACUCAAGUAACUAGGACUACAGGCGUAUACUGGGGCUUCUAGCCAUUUAUAUGGUAUUAAGUGACAGCUUCUAUAGUUACUUGGUACUUGUCCCUGUAAAACUGCACAGUGUGUAUUCUCUUGGCUCAAUUAUUAGCAUAUUCUGCCAUUUCCUUGUGAAUGUUUUGUAUUUUAUAUAGGAAAACUUAAGUUUUUAAAUAUCCUGAAAUAACUGAAGAAUUUUGUUUUUGCCUUUAAGUGGUAAUGUAUAAAGUAUACUAUUGCAGAGAUACUUACAGAGUGCUUUCAUUGCAAUUAAAAUACUGCAGCUAACUAGCAUGUUCCAUAUGUGUAAUCUAAAUGACAUACUGGUCAUGUGCUAUUUCUAUGGAAUACUAACAGUAGUAUGGUACAUUUAUGCAGUCUCAACAGUUUAAAGUGUUAUUUUGGUGAUAAACUGUUUACAUUUAUUUGUUUUUAUAUUUGGCAGUCUAAAUGCAAGAGUCUCCAUUUCAGCUCUUUACUCUGCAUAUCUUUAAUGUUGGGCAUUAUGCCUCUUUCUUGAGUUUCAGUCCUAUGACUGUUCCAUUUUCAGUAUUCAUGUUUAUGUGUCUUUCUAAAAUUGUUUUGCUUCUGUUUCUUGCUGCUCUUGAGACAAUUUAUGGGCAAAUUUUGUUACUUUUCAACUGGCCGUGUAUUUCCCUGUGAAGAGUUGCUGGAUUGUCUCAUUUUCCAGAUAAACUGAAUUAAUGUAGUAGUGAGGAGAAGCCAGAUUUCAGAGGUUUGACAAGUGAACAAAUGGGAAUGAGAAAAGAAGUAGGUACUUAAACUUUUAAGAAGUUUGGCUCUGAAAAAGGCAAGAAAUAAUGGGUUAGAGAGGGCAGGAUUGUAAGGAUUUAAGAUAGGAGAAGAGGCAUAAGCAUAUUUAAAUUUCCCUACUUAAGGGCCAAAAUCAUACUGUACCUCAGUCUGAACUUUUUAAAGGAAUUCAAGGACACAAAAUUCUGCCCUGCCCUGAAAUCCAGUCAGGAGGAAGGGAGAAGAGCUCUGAAGUACUUUUGUAAUUUUCUUCUACAUAAUAAUUGAUUUUUGUUUGAUUAUUUUUCUUUCCUAUAGCUCCUGUUUGCCAGGUUUUUCAUAGCUGCCUAUUUAACCAAACUUGUACUCCCAAGAAUAGUGCAUAUUUAUGAUUCUUAAUUCCAAAAACACAUGGCAAUGAUAAUGUCUCUGCUUCUUUUGAGAAAUUAACUUGGUUCUGAAAGAUGGUGUUUGCUUUUCACACCUGUAUCAUUAAUACUUCCUUGCCAAACCUAACUAGGAUCCUCACCACCACUGUUAGAGAAAACUGAUGCUCAGUUGAACCAGAAUGUUAAAUGUGAACAGGAUUUGUCUGUGUUGUUGCCCAGCUAUGUUUAUCCAUACACAUUACCUGGAGGAAGAGAAAUCUGAGAUAAUUGAGUUGAUUAGAUUACUUACAUGAAGAUGGUUUAAUUGUAUCAAUACAGAAAAAUGCACAAGGAAAGAAACUGACACCUUAAGGCAACAAAGCCCUCCAUAAAAAGUAACCGAAUUUUGAGAGUUACGAACUAAUGUCCAUUACCUGAAGUCCUUCUCAUUCCAUUACCCAGUAACAUAAAUCAAAUUCAGUAAAUAAGCUGCUUUAUGUCUUGAGAAAUUUAACUGGCAGAAUAAAUGGAAAGAAGUCAGUAAAAAGGGAGCAGUUGAACAAGCAUGGUGUCUCACACCAAUAACCCCAGCACUUUGGGAGGCCGAGGCAGGUGAAUCACUUGAGGUCAGAAGUUCAAGACCAACCUGGCCAACAUGGUGAAAACCCAUCUCUACUAAAAAUGCAAAAAUUAGCUGGGCUUGGUGGCAGGUGCUUGUAAUCCCAGCUACUCAGGAGGCUGAGGCAGGAGAGUCACUUAAAACCCAGGAGGCAGAGGCAGUGAGCUGAGAUCGUGCCACUGUACCCCAUCCUGGGCAACAGGACGAGGCUCCAUCUCAGGGAAAAAAAAAAAGAAAAAGCUGAGCAUGGCGGCAUGUGCCUGUAGUCUUAGCUACUCAGGAGGCUGAGGCAGGAGGAUCACUUGAGCCCAGGAGUCGUAGGUUGCAGUGGUGCCAUUGUGUUCCAGCCUGGGUAAGAGUAAGGCCCUGUUUCAGUAAAAAGAAGGGAGUAACCAAGACAGGUAGGGAUUCAGUAUAAUAAAAGUCAAAAGUAGUUGUUUAUUACUAGAGCCUGGCACUGUAACCUGGUAUGUCCAAAUGUGAUUUAAUUUGCUCUCAAGAUGUGCACCAGAAGAAAUAACCCGAGGCAUUUCAAAGAAAAAACAAAAUGUGACCUGCUAGUUCUGUUACUCUGCCACAAGUUAACACAUUUUGAACUUAAGUGCAGAGUCCCAUACAUCCAGUGUGACUCCCCAAAUCUCAAAAAUUUAGGCUAAAACCUAAUUUUGUGUCCAAGCCAGUGCCUGCUUGUUCCUGCUGAAUUUAAAACUUUGGGUCCAGCAAUCUUCUAUCGCUGGAGGGAGGGAGAGGUAUGAAAAUAAUGUUUAAUGGUAAUUGUUUAUUGUCAUGGGCCCAUAUUAUACCCAGAUUUAGAGAGCUAUUUGACACACCUGUAACCUAAUGUUUAUUUUAACUUAAUAUCUGCUCAGUCAGGUAAGAGAUGCAACUUCACAGAGGUCCAUUUAACGUGCCUAAACCUAAGUAGAAACACAAAAGCUAUGUAUAGUCCCUUGUUUGAGAUAACACUAAAUUUUUAGAGAAUAGCUUGGUACUGUGGUAGACAGAGUUCACUUAAAAUGCAUUUAACAAUUUACAGAUAACUGGAAAGUAAUUCAUUCAUCUUAGAACCCUGGUAGGGACAUUCUAUUAAAAUAUUUGUGUACUAGUUAAAGUCAAAAUAGAAAUACAGCCUAUCACACGGUAUUUAUACUAUGCAUUAUGAUUAAUAAAGCCACCUAAGGUCGUUACUCCAUGAUCAUGGGAAGUUGUUAGUCAUUAAGAGUUCGGGUUUAGCAACAAAAAUCUUGCGUUUGAAUCUAAACACAUUACAUGAUUUUAAGCAUGUUCAUCAUUCUGAGAUUAAAUAAAAAUUAAGGAAAUAUAUGAAAAAUGCUUAAUAAGUACCCAAAAGGUAAUAUGGUGUAGCAACUUAGAAUGUAGACUUCAGAGCCAGUCAGCUAGGAUUAAAAUGACACUUCGGCCAAUCACUGUUGACUAUAAGCAAGUUAUUUAACUCUGCCUCAGUUUUGUCUGUGAAGUAGGGAUAAAAUCUUCCUCGCUAGGUUGCUAUAAGAAUUAAAUGGAUAUAUUAAGUACUAUCAUGUGAGAUCACUUUAUUUGAGGCUAAAAAAAUUUUUUUUAACUAGGAUUCACUGAAAAUACAUCUAUAAAAAAGCCACUCUUUAUCAUGAGAAGUAUGAUUUUCUGUACCUUAGGUGUUAUAAAGCAAUAUCCCCUCAGUUUUAACUUUACCAAAAUACCUGUCUUAGUAAAUGAUACUAUAUAUACCAAAUAUUGCAUAUGUGUAUAUAAACUUCAACUGUCUACUUCUAUCACUGACAGUUUAAAAAUUGAGAUAAAGUAAGUAUUAUCUGAGUAAUAUAACCAUUUUCUAUUUAUUUAUUUAUUUAGAAACAGUCUCACUCUGUCACCCAGGCUGGAGUGCAAUGGCUCGGUCUCAGCUCACUGCAACCUCCGCCUCCUGGAUUCAGGCAGUUCCCCCACCCCACCCUCCCGAGUAGCAGAGACGGGGUUUCACUGUGUUGGCCAGGCUGGUCUCGAACUCCUGACCUUGUGGUCUGCCCGCCUCGGCCCCCCAAAGUGCUGGGAUUACAGGCGUGAGCCACCGCACCCAGCCAAUCUAACCAUUUUCAAGAUUUGAUCUGCAAAUACCUGAAGUAAGUACAAGCACUGUGGCCCAGUUAAAGAGUGUUAGAACUGUAAGAAGUCCAAAGGCAUAGCUAAGAAUUGCUUUAGAGUCAGUUGUGGGUUCUGAAUUCUUGCUCUGAUAGUUAGCAACUAUGUCUACUUUGGCAAAUUUAGGUUUUGAAGCCUUCCAUAUCUUUAAAAGGAGGUAACAUUUAACAGAGCACCAAAUACAAGGUUUUCUGUAAUAUUAGUUCCAUAGCAUGGUCUGCAAACUUCCAACAUCAGAAUCUCCUGGGAUAUAUGCUAAAUGCAGAUUCUGGUUUCCCAACCAGAAUAUACUGCUUAAAAAUCUGAGGGUUAGUUCUAGGAAUCUGCAUUUUUUUCUAUACAAUGUAUGUAUUAGGGUUCCCUGGAGGGACAGAACUAAUAGGAGAUACAUAUAUAUACACACAUAUAUUUAUUAAGUUUAUUGAGAACUUACACGAUCACAAGGUCCCACAGUAGGCUGGCUGCAAGCUUGAGGAAAAGAGAGAGCCAGAGUCUGAGUCUGAAAACUGAAGAACUUGGGGGUCCAGUGUCUGAGGGCAGGAAGCAUCCAGCGUGGGAGAAGGAUGGAAGCUGGGAGGCUAGGCCAGUCUCUCCUCUUCACGUUUUUCUGCGUGCUUAUAUUCUACCUAUGCUGGUAGCUGAUUAGACUGUGCCCACCAGAUUGAGAGUGGGUGGGCCUUCCCCAGCCCACUAACUCAAAUGUUAAUCUCAUUUGGCAACACCCUUACAGACAAACCCAGGAUCAGUAUUUUGCAUCCUUCAAUCAAGUUGACACUUAGUAUUAACCAUCACAAUGUAUGAUUUUUAAAAUCUGCAUUUUUAAUAAGCUACUAGUUUAUUUUUCCACCUAAUCCAAUUCCUAAUUUUAUUUGAAAGCACCAAGGUAAAUAGUUCCUAAAUCACUGUUAUUUAAAUUGUGCUCCAGUACCCCUUAUUCUUGCUGCAAUUCCAAGACAGAGAUAACAAAAAUUUUUUUUUCAAUGUUUUGUUUUUUUGAGACAGAGUCUCGCUGUGUCCCCCAGGCUGGAGUGCAGUGGCUCGAUCUCGGCUCACUGCAAGCUCCGCCUCCCGGGUUCACGCCGUUCUCCUGCCUCAGCCUCCUGAGUAGCUGGGAUUACAGGCAUGUGCCACCACACCCUGCUAAUUUUUUGUAUUUUUUUUUUUAGUAGAGACGGGGUGCAUGCUGCAUGCUCCGCCUCCCGGGCUCUCGCCAUUCUCCUGCCUCAGCCUCCGGAGUAGCUGGGACUACAGGCGCCUGCCACCACGCCCGGCUAAUUUUUUGUAUUUUUACUGGAGACGGGUUUUCACUGUGUUAGACGGGAUAGUAUUGAUCUCCUGACCUCGUGAGCCACCGCGCCCGGCCUGCCAAAAUUUUUAAUGUUUGCAUGUACAUAGUUACUCAACAAAGAGGCCAGGUGUGGUGGCUCACGCCUAUAAUGCCAACACUUUGGGAGGGUUGCCUGAGCCCAGGAGUUCGAGACCAGCCUGGGCAACAUUGUAAGAGCCUGUCUCUUAAAAAUAUAUAUUUUGGGGAGCCAGGUGUGGCACCUCACGCCUGUAAUCCCAACACUGGGAGGCUGAGGUGAGUGGAUUGCUUGAGCUCAGGAGUUCGAGAUCAGCCUGGGCAACAUGGCGAAACCCUGUCUCUACCAAAAAAAAAAAAAAAAAAAAAAGUAGAGGCAUCGUGGUGUGUGCCUGUGGUCCUGGCUACUGGGAAGUCUGAAGUGGGAGGAUCGCUUGAGCCUAGGAGGUGGAGGUUGGAGUACGCCAAGAUCACACCACUGCAUUCCAGCCUUGGUGUCAGAGUUAGACCCUGUCUCAAAAAAUAUAUUUUAAAAUGAUAUUAAGUAAAGAAUAUAGUCCAGCCACAUGAGCAAGUAUUGCUUAUCUAGAAAGACGUAUAAUAAAGUUCUUUUGGGGAGAUAAACUAUGAUCCAUUCUAUGUUUCAUGUAAAUCAGGGGCAGCCAAUCUUCUGGCUUCCUUGGGCCACAUUGGAAGAAUUAUCUUGGGCCACACAUAAAAUACACUAACACUAAUGAUAGCUGAUGAGUUUUUAAAAAGAAUCACAAAAGCAAUGUUUUAGCAAAGUUUAUGAAUUUGUGUUGGGCUGCAUUCAAAGCUGUCCUGGGCCGCAAGGUGGAAAAAACUUGAUCUAAAGUAUUUGAUUUUUUUAGAAAAGUUUUUGAAUGGCCAGGUGUGGUGGCUCACACCUGUAAUCCCAGCACUUUGGGAGGCCGAGGCAGGCGGAUCACGAGAUCAGGAGAUCGAGACCAUCCUGGCCAACAUGCUGAAACUCCAUCUCUACUAAAAUACAAAAACUUAGCCAGGCAUGCUGGCAUGCGCUUGUAGUCCCAGCUACUCGGGAGGCUGAGGCAGGGGAAUCACUUGAACCCAGGAGGCGGAGGUUGCAGUACAGUGAGCCAAGAUCGCGCCACUGUACUCCAGCCUGGUGACAGAGCAAGACUGUCUCAAAAAAAAAAAAAAGGAAGCUUUUGAAUAAGAAGCAACUCUACAGUACUCUAUUGUAGACAACCAAAGUAUUAAUAUUUGGGGGGCACAAUUUCAACCAACUUUAAAUUAUUUCAUUCUGGAAGUAUGUGUUGAGUAAAUAUGAAGUAUAAGGCCCCUAGAGGUACAGAUGGCUAUGGCCGUCUAAACCAUUUUACUCUUAACUUUUAGUGUCAUGGACCUCUUUGUCAAUCUAGUGAAGUCUAUGGACCGCUUUUUUUUAAAAAAGCCUUUAAACAUAUAAAGUACAGUACAUUGAAUUACAAAAGGAUCCAAGAAUAUUGAAAUAGUUACCAAAAAAAUUUGAUAUAGAAAUAUAUGUGGUUUAUUAAUGAAUAAGAUCUAGCAGUGGCCUUACUAUAAUUUCAACACAGUAGCGUGGUGAGCAUAAAUAUUUCAACUUAUCUGCAACAAUUGUAAUGUGAUAUGGAAAUAAUCAGUUUAAUUGUGACAGUCACAUUUACUGCUAACUACUGUGAUUGACUGGCUAUGUUUACAUUUUAUUAGAAGUUAUUGAAAGUAGAUGCCAGGCAUGGUGGCUCAUGCCUGUAAUCCUAGCACUUUGGGAGGCCAAAGUGGGCAGAUCAUUUGAGCCCACGAGUUCGAGACCAGCCUGGCCAACAUGAUGAAGCCCUGUCUCUACUAAAAAUAAAAAAAAAAAUUAGCCUGGCAUGGUGGCCUGCUGUAGUCCCAGCUACUCACAAGGCUGAGGCAGAAGAAUCACUUGAACCAGGGAGGCAAAGAUUGCUGUGAGCUGAGAUCACGCCACUGCACUCCAGCCUGGGCAACAGAGCCCGACCCUGUCUCAAAAUAAAAGAGAGAUGUAAUGGACCCCUUUAAUUAAUCUAUAAACUCCUAAUUAAGAACCCUGGUUAAAAUUUUUUAAUAGGAGCUUGUCUUCUUCACUGUUGUAUCCAAAGCCUGACUGAAAUCUGUAGACACCUAAGCAGUGAAAAAUUUGAUGCCUUAACCUAUAUAAUUUAAAAUCAAAAUAUUUACACUAUAAGGUGAAUUUAAGGAAGAUCUCAUUUUUCUCAUGGUGAAGACUAAGAUACUUUUUCAAAAUUACUAAAUUUUCAUUUGUUUCAUCAGGGAUGAGGUUGGGGGAGGAUCUAGCUCCUUUAUUAAUACCUGAAUAUAUAGGUUUUAAUAUCCAAGCUUGACUAUAUCCACUACACUUGGUACACAACAGAACAAAUGAAUGAACAUUUUCAUGCCUGUAAUCCUAGCACUUUGAGAAGCCAAGGCAGGAGGAUUGCUUAAGCCCAGGAGCUUGUGACCAGCUUGGACAACAUAGGGAGACCUUAUCUCGACAAUAAAUUUAAAAAUUAGCUGGUUGUGGUGGCACGUGCUGGUAGUCCUAGCUACUGGGGAGGCUAAGGUGAGAGGAUCGCUUGAGCCCAAGAGGUUGAGGCUGCAGUGAGCCAUGAUCAUGCCACUGCACUCCAACUUGGGCUACAGAGCAAGACCUUGUCUCUCAACUAAAAAUAAAAAAUAAAAUUCACGAUACUCCCCAAAAGCUGAUGAUAACAUGUAAGAAGCGACUUGAUUUUACCUUCUAACUCUCCCUCCCUUUUAGCACAAUGCUGCAAAAUGACUGGCUCAUAAACCACUAAGCUGCCUUGGCAGCCACUUGUUAUUGUUACCAGUAGGUAAUAUGCUGUUUUCUUCUGCUUGGCACAUAAGCAGUAGGCAUGAAAUAAUUGCUUAAUGGAUAAGUAAGUUGUUAAAUUAUAAAACUCUGAUGGAUUGCUUAGUCCUUUAACAAUUUACACCCCCCUCCCACUUAUCCAAUUCUUUUGUGACAGAUUUUGCACUAGCAAAGUGCACUGUUUCAGACAAUCAAGGAAAUAAAACAUUUCUUGAUGAAAUCCUACCUCGCCUCAACAGGAAACUGAAUUGGAGUCCUCAAUUCUCAGUACAUCAGAACUAGUGUGUGAAAGGAUCAGGAGAGGACCAUAGUAUUGGAGAAUAAAACAUUAUGUAUUGAUGGUUGAGCUUUAUGUCAUCGUGUAGUAAAUGCUAUGACCAUAAAGCCAUUACUGUUAACACUUAAGUUUAUCUUCUGAAAGAAGCCUAUGAAAUAUCUCCAGAAAGACUAGGGGAUUUUCUUCUGUUUGUUUGUUUGUUUGUUUGAGAUGGAGUUUGCUCUGUUGCUCAGGCUGGAGUACAGUGGUGCGAUCUCGGCUCACUGCAACCUCUGCCUCCCAGGUUCAAGUCAUUCUCCUGCCUCAGCCUCUGGAGUAGCCAGGACUACGCACUGCGCCACCACACCCAGCUAAUUUUGUAUUUUUGGUGCAGACAGGGUUUCCCCAUGUUGGCCAGGCUGGUCUUGAACUCCUGGCCUCAAGUGAUCCGCCCACCUCGGCCCAAAGUGCUGGCCACCGCGCCCAGUCAGACUUGUUUUUUAGUGAAAUAAAUUGUUUUCCUUUAGGACCUUAUUCUUUAUGAUAACAGAUUCCAAGAAUAUGCAGUCUUGUCAAUGGCUGUUUCAUCCUCAGUUUCUUUAAAAAUAAAAUACAAUUAGAACAUUUUUAGAUAUGCUAUAUCUAUCCAAUCUAUUUUCCUGUCACCCAGUAAGGUUUUCUAUCAUCAGCACAGGUCUAUGAAAGGACAGUAAAGGGUCUCCUGUUACAUACCCUAGCACUAAUGUUUGUAAUAGAAUGUUAAGAUAAGUUGUUUCAUGUAAUCGGACUACAUUCAGUCUUUCUCUACCCUCUGUCCUCUAUUUACCCACCUAUGCAUGUGGCCUACUAAUUAUAUUGACUGUACAUGACCAGCAAGUUGUAAGUUCUUUUAAAAGCAGGAGCUCAACCAUAUUUGUAUUCACAUUUCCUUCUGCUUAAAACAGGGCUCUUGUUUCUUCAGUAAAUAUUCAUUCGGUAUCCACUAGGUGUCAGAUAAUAUACAAGGUAGGUUCUAGGGAUUCCAAGAUAAAUAAACACAGAUAUGCCAAUAUGAGUCUGACAGUUUUGGCGGGGAGAGGUGGAAAAUAGAUCUGCAAGCCAAAAAAGCUACAGUAGAAUAAUAUAAAUAUUGUAAUGGCAAUAAAAUACCAGAACUAUUAAUUUUACAUUUAGUAAUCAUUCAGUAUCAAUUAAAUGGGUAAAAUGGAUAUGUUGGCAUGAAUGACAUAUAACUGAAAAAACACUAAGAACUGUAUAGAAACUGAAUUAGACAUAUGAGUAAUAUUAGUAGGAAGGGGAGAGAAUAUUUGAUUCCAGGUAGGCUACCAAGCAGGAUGUUUUUUCAGCACAGCCUUGGAAUAAAAUCUGUAACCUUUGAAAA